rnacentral:rRNA from 1 species
UACGGAGGAUGCAAGCGUUAUCCGGAAUGAUUGGGCGUAAAGCGUCCGCAGGUGGUUGUGUGUGUCUAUUGUCAAAGCAUCAUGCUUAACAUGAUAAAGGCAGUAGAAACUACACGACUAGAGUGCGUUCGGGGCAGAGGGAAUUCCUGGUGUAGCGGUGAAAUGCGUAGAGAUCAGGAAGAACACCGGUGGCGAAAGUGCUCUGCUAGGCCGCAACUGACAAUGAGGGUCGAAAGCUAGGGGAGCGAAUGGG